AUAAAUGUUAAAUUUUUUGCUAACUUGCUAUUUAUCUAGCAAGCUAAAUAUUUAGCUAUACAAUAUGUCUACAUGACAGGGAAACAAUAGUCUCUCAUACUUAAAAAACUAAGAUUUAUCUUAAUAAAUGUUUUAUUAUUCCUAGUAUGACAGAAAUACAGCAGCAGUAUCCUACAUUUUGAUUCUUAAGAGUCACAAUUGCUGAUUAAGCAUCAUGUUGCGCCCAGGUUGCAUGUCUUUUCAUCCAGUGAGAACUGUCUGACCACGCUGCAGUGUAGGGUGCAGCGACCCGCUGCAGCACCGUUUGCAGGUCAAAGAAGCCCACGUAAGAAGAGGAACCGUCAGCGGUGGUUAGCUGAGCAGGAGAAAUGAGUCAGAGUGAAGGAAAGCUUUCAGCCGAUGCGGGCAGCGACAUCUUGCUGCUUGCAGAGCGUCGCUGCUGACAGUUUGAAGUUCCAGCCACAGAGCCGCUCUGCAGGCCCGGCUGCUGCUGCAAACCACUGCAGAGAACCUCAGACCAGAACCAGGAAACAUAACCUGGUGAUGGCAUCAAGGUUUAAAAUAUUACAGCUAUUCAGAAACAACCCAGAUUGUUCAAGCUGUUAUUCAAAAUGUUAUUUUCUUAAUAUAUUUCUGGACAAAAAUCGUAGUUUUGCCGUGUACGUUCGCUAGAUUUCACACAGAUGAAACAGUGAACUGAGUUUAAUUUGGGUUAUUUAACCUGUCAAAAGAGGAAAAAUAUAUUCGCCUUGUUAUUCAGUCACAUGUAAAUGUCAGUUUCAGACUAAAUAUUUAUUUAACUAGCUAAAUAGUUUGAAGCUAAAUAUGUAUUUAGAUAUAGUUAGGCUGAGCUAAAUAUUUCACUAACAAGCUGAAGAUUGAACUUCAAAAUAAAUAUUUAGCUAGCAUAGGGCUACAUAUUUAUUUAGCAGUUAUUUAGCUAGUUCAAAGCUAUUUAGUUUAAAGAUAAAUAUUUAGCUGGUAGGCUAUUUGGUUAUCUUAAAGCUAAAUAUUUUGUGUAAAGCUCUAAGGCAAAAGUAUUUAGUUUGAUGCUAAGCAUUUAGCAUCAAACUAAAUAUGUAGCAAGCACAGGGCUAAACAUUCAAUUUGGACCUAAAUAGUUAGCUUGCACACAAGUUAAAUAUUUGAUUUACUUGAUAUUUAUUUAGCAAACUACAUAUUUAGCUAGCUCAGAGCUCAAUGACUAGCUAGCUAGCAACAUAUUUAGCUUCUUAACUACAUAUUUAGCUUGCAAGCUAAAUAUCUAGCAUCAAACUAGCAUCUCAUGGCAAAACACUUAAUUUUAGCUAAACAGUUAGCUUGCACACUAAAUAGUUAGCUUGGAGCUAAAUAUUUUUGCUAAAUAUUUAGCUGCCUAAAUAUUUAGUUUGCAAGCUAAAGUAAAUACUUGUCUUGCUACCUUUGAAUAGAUAGAAAAUGACUAAAUCAGCUGCAACAGCUGGAAGAAAUUCUCUAAAUGUCUGUUCAGGUGCAGCAACAAAAGCAGGAAAUGGCAAAGCGGUGAAACGAACCCUGAGGAAGGAGCUGCAAGAUAAACAACCGUCAGAACCUGUAGGAUCUGGAGCGGCGGUUCGGCCCGCUCGGCGUGUUUGCGGGUCGGACCGGGCCAGGAAUGUGUCUGCUGCUGCUCUGCGUCUCUUCCUCGCUCCGUGACACAGACAUUUUCCAGCCGCCGCGUUUCCGGGAGCCAAUCAGAGCGCAGCGCCGGACACUGCAGCCGUCUGUCUGUUAUCCCGACCAGAACCGGACUGUCAGGACCAGAUGACCCAGUCAGGCUUCCGUACUGCUGCCCAGGCUCACAGCAGGAACCUGAGAGGGCGAUCAGCGUCCUGAUUUCACAACAAACGGUUAGAAAAACACAAAUUUACAAACUGCCAGAAACUGGAAUAAAUUCAGGAUCAGCAGAAAACUUCCUGAUAAAACCAGGAUUUAUUUUGUAGGCCGUAAGAAGGAGAAAAGUUUUAUAUGUUACCAUAAGAAGAAACGUUGUUUUUACGACAAACUUCCUUGUUUUAAUGAAAGGUUUUGAUAAAAAGGCUUUUUUAUCACAAAUUUUCUACCUAAAACAAUGUUUUCUCAUUUUAAAGAGAUGCAAAACAUGAAAUUGAAAAAGUUUCUUGUUCUUGUUAAAACAAGAAACUUUCUAAUUUUAAAGAGAAAUAAAAAAUAUGCUCCUGAUAAAUUAUUACUUUCUUGUUUUCUCCUCAAAACAGGACUGAAAACUCAUUAAAAUGACAAAUUGUUCUUGUUAUAACAACAUUUUAUACAUCAGUAACAGCAAAAACUAGUUUCAGCAGCAAACUUUCUCCUUCUACCAAAAUAUGUUAGUAUGAAUAACUUCUCAUUUUAAUGCAAAACAAAAACUAGAAUGCUUCUUGUUCUUUUUAGAACAAAAACUUCAUUUUAAUGAUAUGAAAAUACGCUCUGGAUUAUGAAUUAUUAAAACGUUAAAGAAUUUUGCAUCUCAUUACAACCAGAAAGUUUUAACAGGAAACUUUCUCAUCAGAUUUUCUCCAGAAAAAAAGAUGGAAACUCGUUAAAUUAGAAAGUUUCUUGUUAUAAGAAACUUUUGUUUUAAUAAGAAAAUUUCCUCACUAACGAGAAAGUUUCCAGCUAAAACAACGUUUUCUCAUUAAACGAGGUGCAACAUUUUUAAAAUGAGAAAGUUUUCUCAUUGAGAUGAGAUUAAUUUCCCGGCUCUGUGAGUUUAGCGUUUCUGGACAAACCUCCGUCACAUCGACGUGUUUCUGCUUUUCAUCUCAUUAAUAAACAUUUAACAAUGCAGCAUACAGCUUUUAAAAAAGAUCAAGUCAAAAAGGUUUUCACAUAUUCACUGAGGAAACAGAAUUUAUCUAAAUCAAUUUUACUUAUUGAUGCUUAAAUCGCCUCAGCAUGCUAACAGCUUGAAACCGGAAGCAGAACUGGCAACACGGCCAACUUUGUUCCUUCAGCUUUAAGAACUGGACUCAUUUCCAGAUACUACAAUCUUUUUAUUGUGUCGUUUUAUAUACAUUGUUUUAUAUCUUUAUAUUGUUCUAUUGUAUUCAAUGUUGAUCUUAUCUUUUUAUUUAAUAAUAGUUUAGCAACUUAGCUGUUGCUACAUAAACUAGUAUCUUGUUUCUGUUCCUAUCAAUUAGUAAUAAUUUAUGUCCAAAUUAAAGUUUCAGUUAAAAGUCUUAAAGAAAAAAUGGGAUUGUGUGGAUUAAAAAUGUACCAUAAAAGUUAAAAACAUUUAAUUAAAAGAAUUUUCCACGCCCAUGUUUGGACGUUGUGGUCUUCCUGUUCAGAUAUUACAUCCAGCAACACUCCUGAUGUGGAGAGCUCACAUCCUGCAGCCAUGUUUUCUUUAUCAGCCGCUCGUCAUCCGGCAGCCCUGCACAUGACCAAAUUAGUCCCGGUGUCGGCCCGUUAUCUGGCCACGGACGGGCAGAACCAGAACCGGCCGACUGAGAGAACCCAGGACACGAAAUCUGGGUUUGAGUCUCUGCAGAGAUUCAGAGCACAGGAAGAGGCUCUGCUUCCUUCUGAGGCCUCAUCCUGCUUUUCUACAUAAAUAUAACAGUUAAAAUUAUGUAUUUAUAUACAGAAGGACGGAUUCCUGAGGAAAAUGGAAAGUAGUGGAACGAGGGAAAAAAGGAGAUUAUUGGGGGUAAAAAAAUGACCAUGAUAGAUUAUUUAAAAGCUUUUUUCCUCAUAUAAUGUGACAUUUACACCUUAUAAUGUAAUAGACAAAGAAAUUUCAGAUUCUGAAAAUUGAGUGGAAGGAAAAAAUGUGGUCAAAAAGUUGCUAUGGACUAGUGGAGAUGCAAAUAUUUUUAAAUAACUGAAACUUUUAGCUUAGCUUCCCCAAGAUUAAUACUACUUGAUCAAUUCUAAAGCACUAAUUAAUUUGGAUGUUUUGUAAACUUUCAGCUGAAUAACGUUGACAUCUGAGUUCAAGUUUUGUUUUUCAACAGUUAAAAACUCUUCAAGUAGUUAUUUAUAUUGAUGCUCUUAUUUUGAAGUCUGUUUGUUCUUUCUUUGUUGAUUUUGUCAUAUCAUUUUCUCAAUUAAGUUUCUCAAAAGUCAGCAAGACUCAACAACGAUGAAACUGAAGCCAAGACGUUAAAUGUCGCCCUGUGGAGCAGCGCUGGUAAAAAUGGUGUUAAACGGUUAAUACUGGAGCCAUGUUGUGAUGACACAUUUAAGAUUUAUAGCAUUUUUAUAACAACCAAAAGAAACACAGUUACUGGAUUGUGUCGUAAAAUGGCCGCCAUGUGCCUGAAAGACAAAUAAAACUGAAACUGUCCCUUUAAUGUUUUUUGGUAACUGGAAAAUGAGCUCCUGAAUGUAACGUCACAAAUCAGCGACCACUACCCCACCUAACAACCCCAGCCAACCUCAGCCAGUUACCUAGCAACCACAGCAGAACUCCAGAACGUUUGGUCAGCUGGUUUUACCGCUGAACAAAAAGACAAAUGUUUUGUUGUUGUUUUAAGUCAUACUUUGAUAUUUACAGCCUUCUCAUAACAACUGAAGUUAACAAAGUUACUUAAUUGUGCAAUAAACUGGCUCAGUAUGCCCAGAAAACACACAACACUGCCCCUUUAAGAGCCAACAAUGUCAGUAAUGUGAAUGGAAAUGCCUUCCUAAACAAGUUUCUGUCUUAAUUUUUAUAUUUUUUAAAUGACCUAAAUCUUGUGUUUAAAAAUAAUUUACAUGAGCUUCAUUUUUCUCCCCAACUGACUCAAUAAAAUAAAUAAAUUUGUCAAUAAUAUUGUAAUUUCUUGACAUGUACCUGUGUCUAACUGACAUUUAAUGAACCGUAUUCAUGCAUAUUAGUUUUUAGAUGUAUUAAGAUGCUACGGAGGCCCGGUUGAGACGGGGAGAAGUGGAUGUCAGGGGGACAGGAUGGAUGCGAAGAGGUGCCAAAGACCACAGCACGCAGUCUGAGCCAAGCAGAACUGAGCGCCCACUGCCAUCCAAACAUAAAUAAAGUGCUUUUGGCUCCCUGCAGCCACCAGUGUGUACCAUC